rnacentral:rRNA from 1 species
CCUACGGGAGGCAGCCAGUAGGGAAAUCUUCGGCGAAUGGGCGAAAGCCUGACCGAGCAACGCCGCGUGAGCGAUGAAGGCCUUCGGGUCGUAAAGCUCUGUUGUUAGAGAAGAACAAGUACGAGAGUAACUGCUCGUACCUGACG